CCUACACAGAAGGAGGCAUAAGCACCUCAAACGACAGACGACUGUCAGACCCUCAAUCACUCCCACACGUGGUGGCAGAGAGAUGCAGGCCUGCAUACAAGCCUAGGGCUAGAGGGACAGGCUCACUCUCGCCUGCACCGUGGAAGACCGCAGAGACCCACUGGUGAACUCCAACCGCCCCCUGAGAGAGGGCAUCGGAUGAAAGUGACAAUACCCAAGGGCUCCAGAACGCGUUGCAUAACUGACAUGUCAC